rnacentral:rRNA from 1 species
UACGUAGGGGGCAAGCGUUAUCCGGAUUUACUGGGUGUAAAGGGAGCGUAGACGGUCCUGCAAGCCAGAUGUGAAAGCCCGGGGCUCAACCCCGGGAGUGCAUUUGAAACUGUCUGGCUAGAGUGCAGGAGAGGUAAGUGGAAUUCCUAGUGUAGCGGUGAAAUGCAUAGAUAUUAGGAGGAACACCAGUGGCGAAGGCGGCUUACUGGACUGUAACUGACACUGAGGCUCGAAAGCGUGGGGAGCAAACAGG